rnacentral:rRNA from 1 species
GACAGAGGGUGCAAACGUUGUUCGGAAUUACUGGGCGUAAAGCGCGUGUAGGCGGCCAUCUAAGUCGGGCGUGAAAUCCCACGGCUCAACCGUGGAAGUGCACUCGAAACUGGAUGGCUAGAGUCCUGGAGAGGAAGGUGGAAUGCUUGGUGUAGAGGUGAAAUUCGUAGAUAUCAAGCGGAACACCGGUGGCGAAGGCGGCCUUCUGGACAGUGACGUG